rnacentral:rRNA from 1 species
AUGGCGGGCAUGGUGUUUGGCUUGGAGAACCCGAUGAUGACCGCCCUGCAGCACCUGCUGGACAUCCCGGACGGGGAGGCUGGUGGAGCCGGUGCCGCCGGCGGCGAGAAGCAGGGCCCGACGCGCGCCUACGUCCGCGACGCGCGCGCCAUGGCGGCCACCCCGGCCGACGUGAAGGAGCUGCCGGGCGCGUACGCGUUCGUGGUGGACAUGCCGGGGCUCGGGUCCGGCGACAUCAAGGUGCAGGUGGAGGACGAGAGGGUGCUGGUGAUCAGCGGCGAGCGGCGGAGGGAGGAGAAGGAGGACGCCAAGUACCUGCGGAUGGAGCGCCGCAUGGGCAAGCUGAUGCGCAAGUACGUGCUGCCAGAGAACGCCGACAUGGAGAAGAUCUCCGCCGUGUGCCGCGACGGCGUGCUCACCGUCACCGUCGAGAAGCUGCCGCCGCCCGAGCCCAAGAAGCCCAAGACCAUCCAGGUCCAGGUCGCCUGA